UACGUAGGGUGCAAGCGUUGUCCGGAAUUAUUGGGCGUAAAGAGCUCGUAGGCGGUUUGUCGCGUCGGCUGUGAAAACUCGGGGCUCAACCCCGAGCCUGCAGUCGAUACGGGCAAACUAGAGUGCUGUAGGGGAGACUGGAAUUCCUGGUGUAGCGGUGAAAUGCGCAGAUAUCAGGAGGAACACCGGUGGCGAAGGCGGGUCUCGUGGGCAGUAACUGACGCUGAGGAGCGAAAGCGUGGGGAGCGAACAGG
rnacentral:rRNA from 1 species